rnacentral:rRNA from 1 species
CAAGUCGAGGGGAAACGGCAUUAUGUGCUUGCACAUUCUGGACGUCGACCGGCGCACGGGUGAGUAUCGCGUAUCCAACCUUCCCUCCACUCGGGGAUACCCCGUUGAAAGACGGCCUAAUACCCGAUGUUGUCCACAUAUGGCAUCUGACGUGGACCAAAGAUUCAUCGGUGGAGGAUGGGGAUGCGUCUGAUUAGCUUGUUGGUGCGGGUAACGGCCCACCAAGGCGACGAUCAGUAGGGGUUCUGAGAGGAAGGUCCCCCACAUUGGAACUGAGACACGGUCCAAACUCCUACGGGAGGCAGCAGUGAGGAAUAUUGGUCAAUGGACGGAAGUCUGAACCAGCCAAGUAGCGUGCAGGAUUGACGGCCCUAUGGGUUGUAAACUGCUUUUGUUGGGGAGUAAAGCGGGGCACGUGUGCCCCUUUGCAUUUACCCUUCGAAUAAGGACCGGCUAAUUCCGUGCCAGCAGCCGCGGUAAUACGGAAGGUCCAGGCGUUAUCCGGACUUAUUGGGUUUAAAGGGAGUGUAGGCGGUCUGUUAAGCGUGUUGUGAAAUUUAGGUGCUCAACAUCUACCUUGCAGCGCGAAUUGGCGGACUUGAGUGCACGCAACGUAUGCGGAAUUCAUGGUGUAGCGGUGAAAUGCUUAGAUAUCAUGACGAACUCCGAUUGCGAAGGCAGCGUACGGGAGUGUUACUGACGCUUAAGCUCGAAGGUGCGGGUAUCGAACAGGAUUAGAUACCCUGGUAGUCCGCACGGUAAACGAUGGAUGCCCGCUGUUAGCGCCUGGCGUUAGCGGCUAAGCGAAAGC